AGAACAUGCCUGCCAAUGCAGGAGACUUAAGAGAUGAGACUUUGCUCCCUGGGUUGGGAGGAUCUCCUGGAGGAGAGCAUGACACCAGCUGAAGUGACUUAGCACACAUUGCAAAGACGAGCAGCUCAGAGCACAGAGACUGAACUUACUAAAUGGUAACUUCAGUGUGUCCUUGUCCUGGGUUGUGGAUACAAAUGGCAUGACUCCUUGGGGCUCAGUCAGCGGGCUAAGUGAGCGAGCACAGGAACUCCUGCAGAUUCUUCACCUCCCAUCCCUGGGAGUUGGUGGCUGGACAGCUGCUUCCUUCACUGUCAGGAUGAUCUUCUUGGAAGACUACACCAAAUGAAUGACCAGUGAGGAAAAGCUAAAGAAGAUGCUUCAAGUCCUCUGAUAGCCCACCUGUCUCUGUCAGUUUGAUAAUAUUUACAGCAUUCUAGCAAAUAAUACUGAGGCUGCACUUGUUACAAGAAAUCUUACCUCCAAAUAAGUAUUCGUAUCUGUGCCAAAGAUCUCUUGGGAAUCUGCCCACUUACUCCUAUGAGGCUUCCAUUGUUCAAGAGCAUUGGCUUCCCUGGUGGUGCUAGUGGGAAAGAAACUGCUUGCCAAUGCAGGAGAGAAAAGUGACACAAGUGUGAUCCCUGGAGUGGGAAGAUCCUCUGGAGGAGGACGUGGCAACCCACUUCAGUAUUCUUUCCUGGAGAAUCCAAUGGACAGAGGAGCCUGAAGGGCUACAGUCCAUGGGGUCACAGGAGUCGGACACGACUGAGCAACUAAACCACGACCAAACUGAUGCUCUUCAUGGCUACAUUCUACCGGCUAUCGACCGGCAGAAACAACCUGCUUCUCAUUUGGGGCAUCGCUGCUUCCCCACUGCACAUGGUCCUUCAAAAGACUCCUCCAACCCAGGCUGGCCAGGCAGAGAAUCUUCUUUCCCUGACCACAGUGAUUCAGUGGUGGCAAGGCUGUAUCAACACCCAGUACUGCACAAAGGUGAACACCAAAAUCUGUGAGGUUGUAACAUGCUAUAUGAUCAAAAAUAAACAUUAGAACUGGGAUCAAGACAGAAAAAGCAGUCAGUUCAGAAAAUUAUCUAUCUAGGGAGAAACCCAUCCAUUUCAAAUCGAGACUCCUAUAUAGCCUGCUUUGCCUAUGGGAGGAUUUGAUCCAAACUAAACAGAGCAAAUCCCCAGGAUACUGGCAGACACCUUUUACAGUUUAUUCUUAAUCCUUUAAGUCAGUGGUUGAUAACAUCCUGGUAAAAGGGGUACUUUUGCUUCACCCCUUAGGAAAAAGUUAAUUGUCUGGUAGGUUGGAAGGAACGUGGAGGCAAUAGGAUUCAGUUUAUAAAACAGGAUUGGAAAGAAAUGCACAGUUUGAUUUUUUAUUCGCUACAGUUGCUACUGUGUUAACAGUUGCUCCUUGGCAGAACAUAAGGGGUAUAAAGAAAGCCGAAGGUUUGUUUCUCAAGCAAUCAUACAAGAAACAAAAGAAAGCUGUUUCCAUAGUCUACAGUGGUUUUGCCAGCAAUUAUGUUUUGUAGAAAAUAAAUAAUGCAUUCUGUUUCCAAAAGGCCCUGACAAACCAUGAU
ensembl:lncRNA